GACGUAGGGCGCGAGCGUUGUCCGGAUUUAUUGGGCGUAAAGAGCUCGUAGGCGGCUUGUUGCGUCGACCGUGAAAACCCGUGGCUUAACUGCGGGCUUGCGGUCGAUACGGGCGGGCUGGAGUUCGGUAGGGGAGACUGGAAUUCCUGGUGUAGCGAUGAAAUGCGCAGAUAUCAGGAGGAACACCGGUGGCGAAGGCGGGUCUCUGGGCCGAUACUGACGCUGAGGAGCGAAAGCGUGGGGAGCGAACAGG
rnacentral:rRNA from 1 species